ACCACAUGGUGCACGGUUCUGCCUUCACCCCGACAUCCUCUCCGCCACCAAUGCUCUCCUCCACUCAGCUCCCCAUCCGCGGAAGAAUCAGAUUCGAUUCCGCGACAGCCGACAGUGACAGACCGCAUUCCAAGCCCCCCAAAAUCGCAUUUCCCUCUCCGAUCAAAUCAAACUCAAACCGACACACGACUCACACGGCUUCUCCGCCUCCGCAGAUCGCCGUCGCCUACUCGCGCCCCUCCACGCGUCGAUGGCCGCCGCGGACCCGCCACCGCGCGAGAAGGUCGUGCCCACGCUGAAGCGCAGCGCCAGCAUCGACCGGAUACCGGUGGACGCGCGCCGCAUCCUGCACCGCCUCGCCGGGGACCUCUGGGGCGGCGACAUGGACCCCGGCGCGCUGGCCGUGUCCCAGCUCAGGGGCGCCAUGACCAAUGAGGUCUUCCGGAUCACCUGGCUCGGCGGCGAGGCCGAGGGCAACGGCCCGCGCAAGGUGCUCGUGCGCAUCUACGGCCGGGGCGUCGAGGUCUUCUUCGACCGUGCCGACGAGGUCCGCACCUUCGAGUGCAUGUCGCGCCACGGCCAGGGGCCCCCGCCUCCUGGGCCGCUUUGCCAACGGCCGCGUCGAGGAGUUCAUCAACUCCAGUGUACACUACGCCUCUACCACCCUAAAUGCGUGAUGUGUCUGCUCGGAUCCAAUCCGCGAUUGGUUUUUGUCAUGGCUCACUCGCGUGUUGCUCGCGUCCUGGCCUUGCCAAACCCUCUCCGCCGCGGAUCUGCGCGACCCGGUAAUGUCCGUCGUGAUCUGCUGCCGCCAUCAACGCCCUACUCCCCUCCUAGAUCCCGUGAUCUGCUACGAAGCUGCCAUCAAUGCCCUCCUCCCCCUUCGCUCAGCUCCCCCUCGCGCCUUCGAUCCGCUACCGUGACCCGCUGCGAGGCGGCCAUCAACGCCCAUGUCCUCCUUCGCGCAGCUACCUUCCCAGGAUCUCGGGCGCUCCUUCGUCGCCAUACUUUUUGGUUCAGCGGGACGCCCAGCCCGUAGAUCGUUGCCCUCAAGAAGUAAUAGUCCAUACAAUACCUGGACUCGGCGCAUGAGGCCUAAGCUUUUGCUGAUCACUUCAAGAUGGCUCUGGACUGUUUCUUCGCUGUAUGGUUUGUUGUGGGAAAUGUGUGGGUGUUCGAUGGACAUUCUUCCGCCCAUGACGCACCCAACCUGUACAGGUGUCGGUGAGAGGUAUUCAAGUUGGAAUUGGAAUUGUAGGUUAUAGUCCACUAGAAGAGGUUUUUUUUGUGCAGUGGAGCAAAACUAGCUGACUCGCUGUCAGAGCAAGACUUCCGCAAGGGGAACUCAAACUAUUACCUAUAUGUGCAUAAUACAUGGUUCAACUAUCCUUGCUUUUAAACAUCUCCUUGAUCUUUGAUACAUUUUUUGGAUUUUGCUCAAGUAUUUGACAUAUACAAGGGUCCCAUCCACGAUGCUUGGAGCAAACUGCUUGAUAUAUGCAAAAUGGAACUAUGCAUAUACGAGCAAAAUGGAACUAUGCAUAGUUCCAGUUUUCUCUGUCUAAAAUAACCAUUAACUGUAGUUGAUUAAUGGGCUUGUUCAAGUACAGUGACGAGAUAAUUAUUUCUCUGUCUAAUCGUAGUUGCUGAAUCAAUAAGGAAAAACGCAACAGACCAUGAUAAUAAUGAGGCAUUGUUCCUUUAAACCUUUACCAAUAAAUGUCGUGCGUGCCUAAAAUAUUGAUCUUGCAUUGAUUAGAAAAGCAUAAUGUAUUCUUAAUUUCUAUCUUUUCAAAUUUCCAGUUAUCAGAUUUAAUCACCCCUGCGUGUUGUAUACUCGUAUAAUAGGGGUUGCCUCAUGGGAAACUUGGCUGGGCCAUUGAUGAGGAUUUUGGUUCGUUUGAGGCACUUGUGUAAAGAAGAUGAAUGCAGAUGGCGCUGCUUUACAAGGGUCUAGAUGGGUGGUAUGUAUAUUAUGCUUUGUUUAUGUUUAUCGAGAAUAGUUGAAGGUGUGUUCUGUUGACCAUUAACCUCAUGCUUCUCUAAAGUGGUUAGCUUUGGAUAAAGAGGCAAAAAAGCUUUCAGUUAAAACUACUAAAACUACAACUAAUCAGGUGAAACAUGUCGUCCAUAUCUGUUUGUUCUUCAUAUGAUACAACAUGGCUAUUCCCAAUUAUCAUUCUUGAAUCUUGAUCGAAGUCGUGUUAGUGACAACUUCCCUGUACCUAGGUGCCCAUAGGCAAGCUUAAUAGACACAUGUCAUCUUUCAUGUUGCAAUUGUUGUUCCAGAAUGUGUCCAUCUUUAAAAGGUAAGGAAUUGGUUAGGCUUUUACUUCCAUGGAAUUUUUUACUUGCUAAAAUGGGAACAAGUGGUUGGUGAUGAAAUGUAGAUCUGCUCCUAAAAACUUCGAAGCAAUCCUGAGGACAUACAUCAGUAAGUCAUUCAUUUUGACUGUGUUGAUAUUUGUAGUAUGCCUUUUUGGAUAGAUGGUGUUGCAUUCCUCUUAUAACCAUACUUGCUAUUUUCUUAUAUGAUUGAAUAAAUAUGAUUGUAGUUUACUGUUGUUCUCCCGUUAUCUGAAUCUUGACUCUAAUCCCUUGGUGAGCUCAUAUGGGAUAUAAUGUUGUAGCAUUGAGGGUUUCAUCCCAAGUUGUUUACUUCAGUGCUCGUGCAUGUACCGAAUAAAACUAGAACAGCUAUUGACUCAUUUCACCUUUUAGAUGAUUGUGUGUGUAUGUCGUUUCACUUUUUAUUCAUUUGUGAUCCAAUUUGGUGCAUGUACUGAUUGAAUUUGAUCCGUCUGUUAAUAAAAUACUAAUGUUUUACUAUCCCGUUUAACACACCCGUUGUGUGUUUCUUGGGAUUCCAAUGUGUUUAGUAUUUUUAUGAUAAUUAUGGGAUAUGCUACCAUUUUGCAUCUGUCUGUUAUACAUACUAUAUUCUUUUUGUACGGCGCACUUGUAUUUGUUCCUAUUUCAUUCUCUCACCUGCUUUUUUCAUGCUUCUCCUUUAGAUGUACCAUUGAACAUACAUACAACUAACCAUAAGGGCACUAACAUUUAGUUGAAUAUUUUGUAUGUCGUUGGUCCAUUGCAAUGCACGGGCAUCUAACUAGUGAUUUCUAUAAAUUCCAAAGGCCUACUCACAGUUACGGUGGUUAUUUUAGUACCAUAUUGCUAUUUUAGGUGGAGUGAAGGUAACUUGAAUAGUUGAGUUAUCUUCACUUACUUGAAGCUAUUGAGGAUGGGAAAAAAGAACACACGCGUGCUCGCUUGCCUCGUCGGUCGGGACGGAUUUGCUGCUCGAUAUUUUUGCAUGCAUGGAGAAAAUUACGUUGGCAUAUUUUUGUGAUCACACGGCUAAUUAUUUACCCUAGGAAAAAGGAGUCCUGGUAUAGUGGGCUAGGGAGAGUGGGCCCACACGUGAACACCGAACACGCUCCUUUUUAAACGCCUCCCCGUACCCCGCUCCAUAAAUGCAAGAGGUUUAGGUACUGUUUGCGUACUCGGAGUGGGGGAGUAACUGCGCGAUCCAAGGUACUGUGCUGUAGCAAUUGUUGCCUAACCAUAACCACUGACCAAACCAUGCUACGAGACACUCCCGUACCCUGCCAGGUGGCAGGGCAGUAGGGUAGGGCACACAACAGCCGGGCGUCGGCAAGCCCAGCCCAGGCCUGCAGUGCCACACCUGCACUGCACCCCGUGAAUCUUCUAUCCUUCCUCUCUCCCUCCGUUACUCCUCCCUCCCACCCUCUUAACUCUGUGCACAGGCGGAGAGAGCCUCUGCAGGCCGUAGGAGAGCAGCGUUGUUGUAGCAGGGUGGUCGGGGUCGGGGUCGGGGGUAAGGUAAAGACAGCAAGUGGGCCCCCACCCACGGUUGCGAUGUGUGUAUGUAGUUGCAACGGUCUGGCCGCGAGCCUGAUCGUACAAGGAGGACCCAGAAGCAAAGCAAACAAGAAGCUUGGCUGCUCUGGACUGCAACGGUCGACCCGGCCCGGGAUUUCAUGUGUCGCGGUCGCGGACGCUCUCGGCCUCGGCUUUUGCCGUGGGCCAGAGCAGAGCAGGACGGGGAAAGCCGGGGGAAAAAAAGGACCACCCGUCGGGUAUAUCUAUCUAUCUACUUUCUUUCUUUCUUUCUCUUGGCAGUUUGGCGUGCGGCGGAUCC